rnacentral:rRNA from 1 species
UACGUAGGGUCCAAGCGUUAUCCGGAAUCACUGGGCGUAAAGCGUGCGUAGGCGGAUGUUUAAGUGUGAUGUUAAAUCGUGGGGCUCAACCCUGUCGUUGCAUCGCAUACUGGGCAUCUAGAGGACGGCAGAGGCAAGUGGAACUCGUAGUGUAGCAGUGAAAUGCGUAGAUAUUACGAAGAACACCAAUGGCGAAGGCAGCUGCUGGGCCGACCCUGACGCUGAGGUACGGAAAGCGUGGGGAGC